UCUCGCCCUCCCUCUGACCCUCUUUCCUCCCUCCCUCUCGCCCUCCCUCUCACCCUCUUCCUCUCGCCCUCCUCCCUCCCUCCAUGUGUGUAAACAGAGAUGGCUUAUCCGCCUGUUUUCCCUUCUGAUCACUUGCCUGCUCCGUGGUCACAUGACCGUCACAUUUCCCAGCAGCCCCUGCAGAGGUGUCAUUGUUUGCGUUUACGGAGGGAAGGCAGGAGGGCAAACAGAGACACAUCGUUGAUGAACGGCAGCCGCUGCAUUGGAAGAAUCCUGAUGCCGUUGAACCAAAGCUUCGCCUAGCAGGUGAAGCUUCGCCUAGCAGGCCACAUUAGCAUUCUGCUCAGGUCCUUUUCCUGGAUGGUUAAGUGAAGGAAAAUGCAAGCUGACCUAAAAAUCAAGUUGGAUGUGCAUUGGCAGUGUUUCUUUUAAGAUAUAUUUUGAAUUCUCGCAGCCAUUUUUCAUCCAAUUCCCGCUGAAUAUCUAGCAGUACUGGGGGAUGUUUAAUGUGCGGCAGAAAUCUCAGUUUCAGAAAGGGAGGAAUGUGUUGCUGAGGAUAUCCGAUGGUUUGGACUUGCAGCCAACGAUGCCUUCAGUCUGAACGCUAGCAUAACGUUUCAUAUGUUCUAUAAUGUUUAAUAUGUCAUCCUUGUGUUGGUUGUUAAGAUCCAGGGAGUUUUCUGUGUUGCAUACCUGUGAAAUUAACUUUCUUCAAAAUAAAGUCAUACUUAUAGUU